ensembl:rRNA 5S_rRNA 5S ribosomal RNA
GUCUGCGGCCAGGCCGCCCCGAACACGGCCGAACCCGUCUGAGCGCGGAAGCUCAGCAGGGCCGGGCCUGGUUACUCCUGGGAUGGGAGACCACCUGGGAAGACCAGGGGCUGUAGGCG